rnacentral:lncRNA from 1 species
CGCGGAGCCGCCGCGGGGCUGCGGGUUGCGGGCACGCGUGGGCUAAACCGGGGCAAAAGCGGUCCAGAUAAAGCAAGGCCUGGCCGCGGUCAGCCUUUAAAAAGGUUAAAUAAAUACGAAUGGACGAAGAUAACGCUCCCGGCCCGGAAAGCACAGUUAUGUACGGCACCAACCUACACGACGAGGAAGAGGGGAUUUGUAACAGUUCAAGAGUCUGAAAGCAGAUGAAAACCGCCGUGGAUACACUGAGCUUCCCCGUUCGGCAGCGCCUCGUAACUUUCCUUGAAAGAACCGACUGUGCCAAAAUACAAUACUACCGUGAGUAAAUGCCUCCUGCACUUUUAAAUAAUAACCUACAAUUCAACAAAACAGCUUCACAUCAGAAUGGUAUUAAAUACUCACUUGUUUACGCCUCGUACCUGAAAUGCAUCCUCUCUGCACGCUGCAUUGGUGACCCUACUGAGCCUGCCACUGGAGAGCUCCUUACGGCUGGUGUAGCUGGUGUCACCUGCCCACACCAGGCACCAAAUUCCAAGCCGUGUGUUUCAAUCCUGAGCCUUUCUUUACAUUUUUCAGUGCACCCUUUGGUACAGAAUGCAGAUGUCUUCCCACUCAGCCCAAAAUAAACCACUUCUCCUUUUGCUUUCUUCUCACGAUGGUGGAAAGCAGUGUAGAAUUAGAAAUCUAUACUACUCAAAGUACCACCAGCAUUGGCAAGUUCAUGUUUUAUAAAAGUAUGAGGAUCGGUUCACCUCUAAUAUACUUAUUAGCAAUCUUCCACAGGCAGAAGAGCUAAAUCCAAG